CACACCGCAGGCUGUCCGGACGCGGGCAGAGGAUGGGAACGUGUCUCGCUGCACUCGGAGUUCAUCCUUUUAGUGUGACUGCAAAGGUGUGGACCUGCCCACGGACUCGAUUCCUCCAUCACUCUCCUAUCUAGAAAAGCUGCCAAAAAGAAAUCAGGAUUUGCAAGCGACACAGAUUCUGAAGUGUUCAGUGCUCCAGUGACUGGAUAACUUUUAUAAGACUUCUGUGAUUUCUGCAGUAUUUCAGAGCAAAGGACAUCCUGUUGAUAGAGCUGAGGAAAAAUUUCACUGUCUUGCCCGAGCUCUUUUUACUUAAAUUUUUCUUUCCCCUCCUACAUGACGACAGCAAAUCCAGUUGAACAAAUACUUGGUGUUGAAGCAGAAGGAAUGAAAAUGAAUUUUGAUCACUCAAAGUAUUUUUGUUGGGGGGGUGGGGAUGGUGAGGGAGGUCAAGGGCUGUACUUGCUGGAAUUGUUUUAAAUAAUUGAUGUGCUCACAGCUGAUUAUGGGUUCUUCUCACUGCCACAGAAUAAACACUUCUGAUGGUGUAUUACA